UACGUAGGGUGCGAGCGUUAAUCGGAAUUACUGGGCGUAAAGAGCUCGUAGGCGGCUUAGUAAGUCGGGUGUGAAAACUCUAGGCUCAACCUAGAGACGCCACCCGAUACUGCUAUAGCUAGAAUCCAGUAGGGGAGUGUGGAAUUCCCAGUGUAGCGGUGAAAUGCGCAGAUAUCGGGAGGAACACCUAUGGCGAAGGCAGCUCGCUGGGACGUUACUGACGCUGAGACGCGAAAGCGUGGGGAGCAAACAGG
rnacentral:rRNA from 1 species